CCAAUCGAACCCGGAGAUAGCUGGUUCUCCUCGAAAUAGCUUUAGGGCUAGCCUCAUCAAAGUCUGCUGGAGGUAGAGCACUGAAUUGUCUAGGGGGCGUCAAAGCUUACCAAAACAUAUCAAACUCCGAAUGCCAGCCAGAUGAUUGAUGGGAGUCAGACUGUACGAGAUAAGUUGGACAGUCGAAAGGGAAACAGCCCAGACCACCAGCUAAGGUCCCAAAGUACGUGUUAAGUGGAAAAGGAUGUGGGAUUUCAAAGACAACUAGGACGUUGGCUUAGAAGCAGCCAUACAUUGAAAGAGUGCGUAAUAGCUCACUAGUCGAGAGAUCCUGCGCCGAAAAUGUCCGGGGCUAAAACACGACACCGAAGCUGUGGAAUGUAGUAAUACAUUGGUAGAGGAGCAUUGUAAGCGGGAUGAAGCCAUACCGUAAGGAGUGGUGGACUGCUUAGAAGAGAGAAUGCCGGAAUGAGUAGCGAGAGGAAGGUGAGAAUCCUUCCGGCCGAAUAUCUAAGGUUUCCAGAGUAAAGCUGAUCUGCUCUGGGUAAGUCGGGACCUAAGGCGAGGGCGAGAGCCGUAGUCGAUGGAUAACUGGUUGAAAUUCCAGUACCACAUAAAAACAGAACUGUGGGGACACAGAAGGGAAAUGGGAGCCAGGAAUGGAAACACUGGUGCAAGCGAAGUAGCCGUAUGGGAGGCAAAUCCCUCAUGCAAGGCAAAGGCGUUACGCGGACCGAACAAAAGUAGGGAAGCCCAGGCCCCCAGCUGUCAAGAAAAGCCGCUAUUGUUUUUUAUGUGCCCGUACCGUAAACCGACACAGGUGGAUGAGGAGAGAAUCCUAAGGCCGACGGGAGAAGUGUUGUUAAGGAACUCGGCAAAAUGACUCCGUAACUUCGGGAGAAGGAGUGCCAUAGCGAUAUGGCCGCAGAGAAUUGGCCCAAGCAACUGUUUAGCAAAAACACAGGUCUAUGCAAAACCGCAAGGUGAAGUAUAUGGGCUGACGCCUGCCCGGUGCUGGAAGGUUAAGGGGAGGGCUUAGCGCAUUAGCGCGAAGGUCUGAACUUAAGCCCCAGUAAACGGCGGCCGUAACUAUAACGGUCCUAAGGUAGCGAAAUUCCUUGUCGGGUAAGUUCCGACC
rnacentral:rRNA from 1 species